rnacentral:lncRNA from 1 species
UGAUUUUCUAUUUGUAGGGGGUUGACGUGGAGGAAUUAAAGGUAAUGAAGGAAGUAUACCUCAUAUAACAAUGGGUUGAUAAGAGGAUAUGACUCCAACUAGUUAAGUUGAGCUAUAAGAGGAUAGGGGCAUAAUUAAAUGAGUUAAUUUGGUGGUUUGAUAAGAGGAUAUGGACUCCAACUAGUUUAGGAUUAAGGUUUUGAUUAAAUUGAGCUAUAAGUGGAUAGGGAUAUAAU